CUCUCUCUCUCCUGCCGCCAUGGUAAGGCAUGCUUGCUUCCCCUUCGCCUUCCACUGUGAUUGUAAGUUUCCUGAGGCCUCCCAGCCAUGCUUCCUGUACAACCUGUGGAAAUAAAAAGUUGGCCGACCUCUGACCUGGACUACUCUGAUUGAUAAUACUGAAUGUACAUCAUUACUAAAUUUGAUGCCAUGUUUAUCAUCUCCGUGAGGAUGAUAAUCUUUAUGAACCCAUGAAAUUCAUAAAGAUUAUUCAAUCAGAAAGGUA
rnacentral:lncRNA from 1 species